CCAAUAGCGUAUAUUAAAGUUGUUGCAGUUAAAAAGCUCGUAGUUGAAUUUUGGGACCAAUAUGUCGGUCGUACUUUGUACGUACUAGCAUCAUUGGUUUCUCCCUUCUGAAGAACCACGAUGUCAUUAAUUUGGUGUCGUGGGGAAUCAGGACUGUUACUUUGAAAAAAUUAGAGUGUUUAAAGCAGGCUCGCGCUUGAAUACAUUAGCAUGGAAUAAU
rnacentral:rRNA from 1 species